rnacentral:rRNA from 1 species
UACGUAGGGGGCAAGCGUUGUCCGGAAUCAUUGGGCGUAAAGAGCGUGUAGGCGGUUCGGUAAGUCGGCUGUGAAAGUCCAGGGCUCAACCCUGGGAUGCCGGUCGAUACUGCCGGACUAGAGUUCGGAAGAGGCGAGUGGAAUUCCCGGUGUAGCGGUGAAAUGCGCAGAUAUCGGGAGGAACACCUAUGGCGAAGGCAGCUCGCUGGACGUUACUGACGCUGGAGACGCGAAAGCGUGGGGAGCAAACAGG